rnacentral:rRNA from 1 species
CCCUAUGGGGUGCAGCAGUUGCGAGACCUCCGCAAUGCGCGAAAGCGUGACGGGGUUACCCCAAGUGCUAUCCGCUGAGGACGGCUUUUCUUCGGUGUAAUGAGCCGAAGGAAUAAGGGGAGGGCAAGACUGGUGUCAGCCGCCGCGGUAAUACCAGCUCCCCGAGUGGUAGGGACAAUUAUUGGGCUUAAAGCGUCCGUAGCCGGCCUGACAAGUCUUUCGUUAAAUCCAGCGACCUAAUCGUUGGGCUGCGGGAGAUACUAUCAGGCUAGGGGACGGGAGAGGCCGAUGGUAUUCUUGGGGUAGGGGUGAAAUCCUAUAAUCCCAGGAGGACCACCAGUGGCGAAGGCGAUCGGCUAGAACGCGCUCGACGGUGAUGGACGAAAGCUGGGGGAGCGAACCGGAUUAGAUACCCGGGUAGUCCCAGCUGCAAACGAUGCGAGCUAGGUGUUGGGGUGGUUACGAACCGCUUCAGUGCCGUAGGGAAACUGUUAAGCUCGCCGUCUGGGGAAGUACGGUCGCAAGGCUGAAACUUAAAGGAAUUGGCGGGGGAGCACUACAAGGCGUGAAGCUUGCGGUUCAAUUGGAGUCAACGCCGGGAACCUUACCGGAGGCGACAGCUGAAUGAAAGCCAGAUUGAACGUCUGCUAGACUGGCUGAGAGGAGUGCAUGG